AAACUUACAUAUCCAUGGAAGAUAAGGAAGUUGUAAUAUUAGAUUCCUGAUAUACUAGGAUAUUUUUAUAUUUUCGUCAACUUUUUAAAGCAAAUGGUUGAUGAGAGAUAUCUUAGUGUAGCUUCCAUGAUUUUACCCCCUGUUGAGAUUCUACUUUUGCUUGAUAUAUCUUCAAUACCUACAGUUCAAAGUAGAACUUGUCUACAAAUCAAAGGUAGACUGAUAUUUCAAGCUUAAGGGGCAGGAGAUUAGGAUGUAACUAAUGUUUAUUAGGAUCUUAUUUCAUGUAUGAAUGAGAUGAG
rnacentral:misc_RNA from 1 species